rnacentral:rRNA from 1 species
AGCAGUAGGGAAUCUUCCACAAUGGACGAAAGUCUGAUGGAGCAACGCCGCGUGAGUGAAGAAGGGUUUCGGCUCGUAAAACUCUGUUGUUAAAGAAGAACAUAUCUGAGAGUAACUGUUCAGGUAUUGACGGUAUUUAACCAGAAAGCCACGGCUAACUACGUGUCAG